CGAUCUGCGGUGGAUGCCUUGGCACUAGGAGCCGAUGAAGGACGGGACGAACACCGAUAUGCUUCGGGGAGCUGUAAGCAAGCUUUGAUCCGGAGAUUUCCGAAUGGGGAAACCCACCACUCGUAAUGGAGUGGUAUCCAUAUCUGAAUUCAUAGGAUAUGAGAAGGCAGACCCGGGGAACUGAAACAUCUAAGUACCCGGAGGAAGAGAAAGCAAAUGCGAUUCCCUGAGUAGCGGCGAGCGAAACGGGAUUAGCCCAAACCAAGAGGCUUGCCUCUUGGGGUUGUAGGACACUCUGUACGGAGUUACAAAGGAACGAGGUAGAUGAAGAGGUCUGGAAAGGCCCGCCAUAGGAGGUAACAGCCCUGUAGUCAAAACUUCGUUCUCUCCUGAGUGGAUCCUGAGUACGGCGGAACACGUGAAAUUCCGUCGGAAUCCGGGAGGACCAUCUCCCAAGGCUAAAUACUCCCUAGUGACCGAUAGUGAACCAGUACCGUGAGGGAAAGGUGAAAAGCACCCCGGAAGGGGAGUGAAAGAGAUCCUGAAACCGUGUGCCUACAAGUAGUCAGAGCCCGUUAACGGGUGAUGGCGUGCCUUUUGUAGAAUGAACCGGCGAGUUACGAUCCCGUGCAAGGUUAAGCAGAAGAUGCGGAGCCGCAGCGAAAGCGAGUCUGAAUAGGGCGCAUGAGUACGUGGUCGUAGACCCGAAACCAGGUGAUCUACCCAUGUCCAGGGUGAAGUUCAGGUAACACUGAAUGGAGGCCCGAACCCACGCACGUUGAAAAGUGCGGGGAUGAGGUGUGGGUAGGGGUGAAAUGCCAAUCGAACCUGGAGAUAGCUGGUUCUCUCCGAAAUAGCUUUAGGGCUAGCCUCAAGGUAAGAGUCUUGGAGGUAGAGCACUGAUUGGACUAGGGGCCCCUACCGGGUUACCGAAUUCAGUCAAACUCCGAAUGCCAAUGACUUAUCCUUGGGAGUCAGACUGCGAGUGAUAAGAUCCGUAGUCGAAAGGGAAACAGCCCAGACCGCCAGCUAAGGUCCCAAAGUAUACGUUAAGUGGAAAAGGAUGUGGAGUUGCUUAGACAACCAGGAUGUUGGCUUAGAAGCAGCCACCAUUUAAAGAGUGCGUAAUAGCUCACUGGUCGAGUGACUCUGCGCCGAAAAUGUACCGGGGCUAAACGUAUCACCGAAGCUGCGGACUGUUCUUCGAACAGUGGUAGGAGAGCGUUCUAAGGGCUGUGAAGCCAGACCGGAAGGACUGGUGGAGCGCUUAGAAGUGAGAAUGCCGGUAUGAGUAGCGAAAGAGGGGUGAGAAUCCCCUCCACCGAAUGCCUAAGGUUUCCUGAGGAAGGCUCGUCCGCUCAGGGUUAGUCGGGACCUAAGCCGAGGCCGAAAGGCGUAGGCGAUGGACAACAGGUUGAUAUUCCUGUACCACCUCCUCACCAUUUGAGCAAUGGGGGGACGCAGGAGGAUAGGGUAAGCGCGGUAUUGGAUAUCCGCGUCCAAGCAGUUAGGCUGAGAUC
rnacentral:rRNA from 1 species